AAAUGAAUAGACGGGGGCCCGCACAAGCGGUGGAGUAUGUGGUUUAAUUCGACGCAACGCGAAGAACCUUACCGGGGUUUGAACUUCACGGGACAGCCCUGGAGACAGGGUGUUCCCUUCGGGGACCGGUGAAGAGGUGCUGCAUGGCUGUCGUCAGCUCGUGUCGUGAGAUGUUGGGUUAAGUCCCGCAACGAGCGCAACCCUUGUCUGUAGUUGCUACCAGGUAAAGCUGAGCACCCUACAGAGACUGUCGGCGAAAAGCCGGAGGAAGGUGGGGAUGACGUCAAGUCCUCAUGGCCUUUAUGCCCCGGGCUACACACGUACUACAAUGGGCGGUACAAAGGGCAGCCAGCUCGCGAGAGUGUGCGAAUCCCAAAAAGCCGUCCUCAGUUCGGAUUGCAGUCUGCAACUCGACUGCAUGAAGGUGGAAUCGCUAGUAAUCACGGAUCAGCAGGCCGUGGUGAAUACGUUCCCGGGCCUUGUACACACCGCCCGU
rnacentral:rRNA from 1 species